ensembl:lncRNA
AAGGCGGGCUCUUCUCUGCCCCCUGGCGGCCAUAGGCGCCCGCGCAGGGCCAGGCUCCCCUUGCAAGGGGCCCACGCGGCCGCCCUGCACGCUCAAGCUCCUUCCCUCUUGACCUGCAUUCCUUGGGGUCAAGCCGGGGUUGGGAUUUCUGAGGACAGCCCCUACCUUACUCCCAAGGGUCGCCAUUGGAGCGUCAGUGGUGGAUGGUGGUCGUUAGGACAGAAGGUGGCAGCAUCUUCAUGCACGCUGUGACCUCCCUUCAGGAUGUGGCUUUCCAGGGGGACUCUUAGAGCGCCUGCCCUUGAAUUCCACACCACUCAAUAAAAGAAAAGAGAACACUGAAUUUACCUCUCUACCUACCAUUCUACUUCCCGGAGGCCAGGAGCCGUCGAAUGACUUUAAUGGCGUCUGGAGUCAAGUAAGUGGACGGGGAAGGAUUUGAGCAAGAUCACUGUGGAUAGCCCAGCUCAAAGCAGCCAGCAGCCAUGGUCAAGAGCCUUCCACACCCUCACAUCUUCCCGCGAGCACCACUGGGCCCUCUCUCCGCUUGCUCACUCUGGAAGAAGCCAUCUGCUACCUCGUGGGGACACUCCGAGGCGGAGACCUGAGGACUCCAGGCAGCAGCCCAGCCGGCAAGCCUUCCCGGAAGCAGAUCCCUCGGAGCCUUCAGGGGCUGCAGCCUCGUGGGAGGCACGGAGCCAGACCGCCCAGCGCUGUGGGCUCACCGCCCUCGGAAAUUGUGCGCAUAAUACAUUUUGUGGUUUGCAGCUGCCAAGUUUGGAGUCACUCCUCACGCAGCAACAGUCGAUUGACAGACGCUCUCGUUUCCUCUUCCGCAGGCAGAAGUGACGACCCCUCACCUCUGAGGUGGUCCUGGAUGUCUCCAAUGCAGAACGCACCGUGGAACCUGAACCUGGAAACUUUAACAAAUUUCGUUUCUCGAACUCCUUCUGGGCUGGCUGAGUCUUGGGCAUUGGUGUCUUUUCCAGGAUUACAUCCAGGACGCCGUGUUGCAUUUAGUCUGCGUGUUUCCUUAAUUUUCUUGAUGUGAGCAUCUCCCGCCCCUGGACUGGGGAUCCUUCAGGUCAGACACUGGGUCUUUUUACUGCCAGGUCCUCAGGCGCCAGCUCCCUGUCUCAAGGCCUGGGUGUUCGAGGCACAUGGUAGAUGAUCAACACAUGAUUUGCAAAUGGAAUGUUGGUUGAGUUUCUAGAACUGAAUGCAAAGUUUGGUGGUUCUCUUGCUUCUUGUUCAAGUGGAAAUUUCGUUCCUAGACAAUUUUCACUGUGAAAAAUCCCGAUGUCUGGAUCUCACUCCCAGGCAUCUGAUACAGUGGGUCUGGGUUGCGGCUUGGGCACCGAGAGUUGUAAGCUGCCCGCAGUCAGGGCCAAGACCAUGGUUGUGAUCCAGCUGUCAUUCCUGAGAUGGCAUUUCCACGUCUUAGUCUCCUCUCCCCGGGAUGAACCGUUUGCUCUUCAUCAAGCUAGAUGGGGUCAGCCUGCCCCAGGAGCAAGAGUCCAGAGGGAAAUGCCUGCAAGGACUUGAGGAUAAAGGCUGUGAGAGUGAACAUGUGUGUGUGUUACAUGUGCACAUGUACGUGCUACCUGAGUGCUUAUGGUGUAGCUUCAUGAUAACAGCUGAAGCCAUGUAUAUAUUUUUGAGUCUUAUUUUUAUUCUCUGGAAAAUCAGAUAUACUCUUAAUUUCUAAGGCCCCGGUAUUGCUAAAAUGGUCAGAUGUCAAUAGCCAAGUAUCCUGGGAGAGGCCACAUUGCAAUGAGAGCAGAGCAAGAGCCGCCCACAGGGACAGGCACCUUGUCUAUUUGCCUGUAGCAUAGAUGCAGCUGGCAGUUACAUUUGGGGCUGUACCCUGGAGACCUUGAAGGCCGAGCUGAGUGAGAGUGUUUACUGCAGCAGGGGAUGGGGUUAGUGAAAGGCCUCAUCGGGGAGGGACAGAUUGGAGCUGGGUUGUCAGGAGGUGAGUUUGGUGAGGCUGUGCACAUGGCGAUGGCGAGGGAGAGGUGAGACGGGAGGAGAGACCCCGUCGGAGAGGCAAAUUCAGCUCUAGGUGGGAAGGGAAAGGGGCCUGAGCUGCUGGGGACCAUGGGGCAGAGAGAAGGGACAGAUGGUGGAGGGUGAGGUGGGGGGCUGCAGGGGCCCACGAGGCAAGACUUGGCCAUGGGUGGCUGGGAGGAAGGAGGGAGGGAGGAGCAAAUGACUCCGGCUCUGGAACCAGGGAAGGCUGCUCGCUGGAGGCCUGCAUUCAUCUGUUACCAUGCCGGACCCCUCUUGAAAGCUGCUUGUCCACAUAGGCCUGGCAGCCUUGGUAGACAGUGUGGAGGGGGCUGAGGGCUCAACUUGUAGUGUAACUCAGAUCCGAGUUCAAUUCCCAGCACUGGCCCUUUCCAUGUGUGCGUCCUUGGGAGACUGACAGUUAUAAAAUAUGCGGACAGACGGUUUGGCACGAGUAUACAGUGAGAGCUCAGUAAAUGUUAGCUGCUAGAAUUACUGUCUUCUCUGUCUCUGAUACACACACACACACACCUCUUUUGUGAUUCUAAAACCUCCAUCUGGAUAAGGCAGUGGGCCAGGGCACCCAUCCUCCAGGAGCUGUGGGUGUGGGCUGCUGAGGGCUCAGAGCUGCCCCCCUUCCCUCCAAAUAGUCCUUAGCCCAACAGGAACCAUCUCACCCAAGAGCCCCACCAACCACCCCCUCAACCCAUCUAGUGACUAACUGGGACAGAGUACAAAAAUGUGGCCUCUUUGGCUCAUGGCAAAGUCAACUCUAUGCUCAAAUUUUUAUUCCAGAGCGCGCCCCGUGGAAGGUUGAAGGCAGAUGCCAGCUGAGGCCGUACCCCCUGCCUUAACCUCUCUCUCUCACCCCCCUUGCCUUGAGAGCAUCCCCCUGGUAAAGCAAGGGUACUGAAUCCCUGCCUUGGGCUCCUGGCAGCUUUGGGGAGCAGGUCCCACAGCCGACAGUCUGCUUAGUUCUCUAUUUCAGGCUUCACCUCAGACACCAUCGAGCCUGUGCUCCAUGCUGUGGGGCCCAACAGGGCAAGCCUUGCUCCCUGCCCAGGCCUCUGGAUCUCUGGCAUGGGAAGGGGAACCUGCUGGAACAGGAGAGGCAUUUAGAUAACACUUAGACCCUCAUCUGACUUCUCUGGGCCCUAUUUGCAUGUCACCUGGGACCCUCUCUGCCCUGUGGGGUUGCUGUUUUGCCCCCCAACUUGGCUCUGAGCAUCCAUGGGGCAGGUACUGCAGCUGAGUGGUUUCUGCAUCCCCUGCACUCAACAUGGGCCUGCACACAGUUUGAGGAACCACAUUUACUUGGAAUGAAAAACAGUUACAGCCAAUAUCACCAAAGAAAGCAGCCAGCGAUGGCCAAAGGGAAGGGUCUUGCCUGGGCCCAUGGAGAGAUGGGCCUGCCUGAUAAGAUGGAAGAGCGCAAAGAGAAGCAGCCAUCAGUCACUGGGCAGAAUCACAUGUACCUUUCUGGGUACAUCUCACCAUCUCCAUUUUACCCAUGAAGUCUUCGAGGCUCAGAAAAAUGACAUUUAUAAAAACCCCAAGAAAGUGGUAGAGUCGGAUUUCAAUCACUUGCCUGGCUAUACUCUCGCCAAGAUCACAGGGUCUGAAAUCACAUCUUGAAGAGCUGGGAGUUACUCUUCUGGGGGUCUGCAUCCCUACUGAUGUUUGAGCUGAAAAGGACUGGCUGGUGGCUGUGUUGGAGGCAGACUGCCCGGGCAUUGGAAAGAGGUGGGAAGGGAGUUUGGAAAUGAAUCCAGUCUUCUACUGGGGGCAACAGAGUCGGGAGCAUCACUGUAGCACGGCUCUGAGGAGUCAGGCGACAGAGGCAGGGCCAAUGCAGUGGACUGUCCAGCAAAGGGAGACAGCGGGCUGGAUGCCUGAUUCCCUCAGACCUUCUGGCCCUGGGCAGGCGGGAGCCCUGGGCGCUGAGCUGUGUGACUCUCCCUGGGCUCCGCUUCUCAUCAAUCAAGGGAGCGGGGUGGCUGGAAGGUUUCUUCCAGCUCCAAGUCCUUGAUUCUCAAUCAGUGAAAGGUCUGAUGUUUCCCAUCCCUCUUUGCUCCUCUCUGUGUAAAUCCUGGGCUGCAGACCAGUGAUCCAAGUCCCUGGGCCCAGCCAAGGCGACAGAAAGCCUGACUUUCUCAGCCUUGAAAAGAGCUGACAGGCUGUUCUCUGGGCUCCCCUCUGCAGGGAGCAUUGACAAGAGCUGGAAGAGGAGACUGGCACGGGAGCCUUCUUGAGUUGUUCCACAAAGGACCUCUUCUCUUUCCCAGGCAUGAUGACAAAUACUGCGGCUCCCUCUGGCUGUAAAGGCCGGGGGGCGUGGACAAGGUUCCCAUGCCUGGGCUCUUAGGAAAACUGCAAGCAAAGAAAAAAAUGUGCAUGGGUUUUUGGCUACGCUUCUUGACUUGAUGCCAGAUAACCCCUGGGUUCAAAAUUACAUCACUAUUGACUAUCUGGGUAAUUUCUCUGUUUGACCAUCUUGGAAGAAUAGCUACCUUGGCAACAGAUUGUUAUCAGCUCCCUAAUGAUUUGUGCUGGGGAGCAGUUUCCUUUAUGCUGAAAACCGGUGGCCUAAAAGCUGGAGCUGACCAGCUGCCACCUCCCAGGUCUCUGAGUGGAUUGUGCAGUAUCGAGAACUGGAGCUGGGCUGGACAGACUACUUUGUUAGGCAGUAAGGGCCAGGCCAGUGACGCUGGGAUUCCCAGUGUCACCCUCAGCUGUGGACUCAGCAGAGCCCCUGGGAUGCUCAGUCUUUACCCAUUGCAGGUGGCUCAGUGCUGAAGGAGGGGCUGAUAUGACACAUCUAGCACUGGCCCCAUGAGCUGGCCUGUCUUUCUGAGGCCACUGGGAGUUCUGUUCCUGGUCCUUCCACUCUCCCUUGCUUCUUACUCGGCUCACCAGAUGCCAUGCAUUGGCCUCUGUGCUUCAGAUGAAUUAAAAAACACCGGAUUAUUCAGGAAAGAUCUAAAGGAAAUUCCCGGGAGACUCACAGCAUUUCUGAGUUACGAGGGAGCACUGGCCAGAGUUGGGAAAUAGAGCGAAAGCUUAUAGGUUUCAAAAAGAAGAAGGGGAGUUCCAUUGCGGCACAGCAGAAACAAAUCCGACUAGUAACCAUGAGGUUGCAGUCAGAUCCCUGGCCUCACACCCCUCAGAUCCUGUGUUGCUGUGGUGUAGGUCAGCAGCUGUAGCUCUGAUUGAACCCCUAACCUGGGAACCUCCACAUGCUG